rnacentral:rRNA from 1 species
UGAAUACGAGAUGCUACGGCGUCGAAGCAGUCUAUGUCAUACUUCCAAGAAAAGCUUGCACUGUCAUAAACAAAUAAUGCCUGUACCAUAACCGACACAGGUGGGUAGGUAGAGUAUACUAAGGGGCGCGAGGUAACUCUCUCUAAGGAACUCGGCAAGAUGACUCCGUAACUUCGGGAGAAGGAGUGCCUUAUUUAUAAGGUUGCAAUAACAAGAUCCAAGCAACUGCUUACCAAAAACACAGGUCUCCGCUAAGUCGUAAGACGAUGUAUGGGGGCUGACGCCUGCCCAGUGCCAGAAGGUUAAAGAAGUUGGUUAGCAUCCGCGAAGCUGAUAACUGAAGCCCUGGUGAACGGCGGCCCUAACGAUAACGGUCCUAAGGUAGCGAAAUUCCUUGUCGGGUAAGUUCCGACCCGCACGAAAGGCGUAAUGAUUUGGAUACUGUCUCGGAGAGGGGCUCGGUGAAAUAGACUUGUCUGUGAAGAUGCGGACUACCUGCACCAGGACAGAAAGACCCUAUGAAGCUUUACUGUAACCUGAAAUUGAAAUUGGACUUUACUUGCGCAGUAUAGGUGGGAGGCGUUGAGAAUAUUCUUGCGGGAUUAUUGGAGCCAUCAGUGAGAUACCACUCUUGUAAUGUUAGAUUUCUAACUUUGUAUCAUUAUCUGGUCAAAGAACAGUUUCAGGCGGGCAGUUUGACUGGGGCGGUCGCCUCCUAAACGGUAACGGAGGCGCACAAAGGUUUCCUCUGAACGGGUAGAAAUCGUAUCUAGAGUGUAAAGGCAUAAGGAAGCUUGACUGUGAGACCUACAAGUCGAGCAGGGACGAAAGUCGGUCUUAGUGAUCUGACGGUGCUGAGUGGAAAGGCCGUCACUCAACGGAUAAAAGUUACUCUAAGGAUAACAGGCUGAUCUCCCCCAAGAGUUCACAUCGACGGGGAGGUUUGGCACCUCGAUGUCGGCUCAUCGCAUCCUGGGCGGUAGUACGUCCCAAGGGUUGGGCUGUUCGCCCAUGAAAGCGGUACGCGAGCUGGGUUCAAAACGUCGUGAGACAGUUCGGUCCAUAUCCGGUGUAGGCGUUAGAAUAUUGAGAGGAGCCUUCUUUAGUACGAGAGGACCGAGAAGGACAUACCUCUGGUGUACCAGUUAUCGUGCCAACGGUAAACGCUGGGUAGCUAUGUGUGGAGUGGAUAACCGCUGAAAGCAUCUAAGUGGGAAGCCCACCUCAAGAUAAG